GAUGAGUUUGAGUUUUAAAAAUAUUAAUUUAGUUCGAGUUCGAAUAAGUUAAUUUUUUAUGAAUACUCUACUUUCUAAGGGCUUUGAACUGGAACUGAAAAAAAAAAGUUGUUAUAAGAACUGAAUCGAACUUAUUUUAUUAUUUUAGUUCGGUUUUGAUUUUUUAUUAAAAAUCAAAUUAAAAUUAAACCAAAAUCAAAUUGAAA
rnacentral:misc_RNA from 1 species